UACGGAGGGGGCUAGCGUUGUUCGGAAUUACUGGGCGUAAAGCGCACGUAGGCGGAUUGUUAAGUCGGGGGUGAAAUCCUGGGGCUCAACCUCAGAAUUGCCUUCGAUACUGGCAGUCUUGAGUACGGGAGAGGUGAGUGGAAUUCCCAGUGUAGAGGUGAAAUUCGUAGAUAUUGGGAAGAACACCAGUGGCGAAGGCGGCUCACUGGCCCGUAACUGACGCUGAGGUGCGAAAGCGUGGGGAGCAAACAGG
rnacentral:rRNA from 1 species